UCUACAUAUCGUAUCCAUGUAGUUUCCUGCUGUUAUCUAUUAAAACCAAACGUAUAAUCCUAUCACGUAGGUUAUGCAAAUUAUUAUACGCUCCUCCAAAGUAAAUAAUCACCCAGCGAAUUUUCUAAUCUGCAGUAAUUUUCGUAUUGAUAAAAACAAGUCGGUUGGAAAAAUGAUUAAUAAUCGAAUAAUCUAUGGUUACAUGACUGGUGCUACAAAUUAAUAUGACAAGACACUGCCCCCUCUUGGUAUAGAGCUAUCAAUUUUAGUACCGCUGUUAUUACAUGAUAUGGUAUUAAAUCCUGAUGCAGGAAUACUUGCCAUCUUCGGAAAUGCGUUGGAAAUUUUAUUAUUUCUUCGGGAAUAGGUGAAUUGAUUGAAUAAAAUCAAGUUUGUAUAUGUACAACAUUCGCGCACUGACGUGAUCUGGGUUUUAGUACUACUUAUUCAGCAUAUUAUAUACUUUUAAGUUUUAAUAUGACACAACCCCUGAAUACCAGUGGAUGAAAUAAAUCAACGAGAAGAGGUCUGACAGGGACACAGAAGGCAUCCUGGCCUGCUGGAUUUUCACGGUAACAUGUGUCCGAGGACGUGCCUGGCAUUUUUCAGGACCACCAUACGUGAACAGUUUAGCGAUACAGGAAACGGCAUCCAGUCCUUCUCCACGAGUUGAUUUGGGAUUUGGCCAGAAGCCUUAGCUCGGACAGGCACUGCGAUGAACUGAGACGGGAAAUGGCGAUAUUUAUUAUUUUUAUGUUUCUCUCGAGAUGUUCGGAAUUGGCUGCGCACCUUUCCUUGGAUAAGGACUCUUGUACUCGAAGAUUUUUUUCUUUUUUUUUUUGACGUUUCUUGCAACCAAUAGAAAUUUUUGAUUCCAGUAAUUCAUAUACUUCUCAACCACUCGCAACAUUUUUAUAGUGGAAAUAAUCUACUUAACAGGCCAAUUGAAAAGACCAAGUAAAAUACAUUUUUUUGGCAAAAUUUCGAUUUUGUUAUUCGACAUAGUUGCC